AACGUAGGUGGCAAGCGUUAUCCGGAUUUACUGGGCGUAAAGGGUGUGCAGGCGGGGGGUCAAGUGGUGUAUGAAAGCGUCCGGCUCAACCGGGCGUGGCUAUGCCAGACUGGCUCUCUAGAGAGCGAGAGAGGGGCGUGGAAUUCCGGGUGUAGUGGUGAAAUGCGUAGAGAUCCGGAGGAACCCCCGAGGCGAAGGCGGCGCCCUGGCUCGCCUCUGACGCUCAGCCACGAAAGCAUGGGGAGCGAACGGG
rnacentral:rRNA from 1 species